rnacentral:rRNA from 1 species
GACGUAGGGCGCGAGCGUUGUCCGGAUUAUUGGGCGUAAAGAGCUCGUUAGGCGGUUUGUCGCGUCUGCUGUGAAAACUGGAGGCUCAACCUCCAGCCUGCAGUGGGGUACGGGCAGACUAGAGUGCGGUAGGGGAGAUUGGAAUCCUGGUGUAGCGGUGGAAUGCGCAGAGUAUCGAGGAGGAACACCGAUGGCGAAGGCAG